CGGGCGUGCCUAAUACAUGCAAGUCGAACGCAUUGUGGUUGAAAUGAUAUGAAGAACUUGUUCAGAUUUGAUUUUCAACAUUGCAAUGAGUGGCGAACGGGUGAGUAACACGUGGGAAACCUACCUCUUAGCAGGGGAUAACAUUUGGAAACAAAUGCUAAUACCGUAUAAUAAUUAAAACCGCAUGGUUUUAGUUUAAAAGAUGGUCUUGCUAUCACUAAGAGAUGGUCCCGCGGUGUAUUAGUUAGUUGGUGAGGUAAUGGCUCACCAAGACAAUGAUACAUAGCCGAGUUGAGAGACUGACCGGCCACAAUGGGACUGAGACACGGCCCAUACUCCUACGGGAGGCAGCAGUAGGGAAUCUUCCACAAUGGACGAAAGUCUGAUGGAGCAACGCCGCGUGUGUGAUGAAGGGUUUCGACUCGUAAAACACUGUUGUAAGAGAAGAAUGACAUUGAGAGUAACUGUUCAAUGUGUGACGGUAUCUUACCAGAAAGGAACGGCUAAAUACGUG
rnacentral:rRNA from 1 species